rnacentral:tRNA from 4 species
GGGUGUAUAGCUCAGUUGGUUAGAGCGCAUCGCUGAUAACGAUGAGGUCCCAAGUUCGAAUCUUGGUACACCCAC